UCGAAAAAGCGCCUGACACAAAAAUGGAAAAAGAGAACGCGUUUAUCUUUUCCGGUAAUACAUCUAACGCGUGGAUAGACUCUUUAUUUCAUGGAUACUCCAUAUAUAUGCUAGCUCACGGGCAAUCCUUACUAACCCUAGAAAAAUCUCUUUAAUUUCUCAGUCUCCAAAAAUCGAAUCGUUCCGACGCCUUUGAUGUUCAGAUCUUCCGGUGCUCCUGUCGCAGAUGACUUUCGCCCUUCUCUACAACGACCCUUCGAAUCAAAUAUUUUGGAAGGUUUUUAGUGUGAUAAGUGCGAGUCAUCUGUGACAGGAUAAUGGAAGAUCUAGUUAUCAAAGGCUUAUUGGGGCGUUUUCAUCCAAAAUCUCCAACUCUAUUAGAGUAUUCUUCAAUGUACCACUGGAGGCAAUGCAUCCUUUCCAGAUGCUGCUAGCAACAUAUCUAAUUAUCUCUCAUGUUGGUUGAAUAUGAGGUUAAUUAUCCAUCAUUUGAUUCAUGUUUAGCUGCGGGUGAUGGUGGAAAUUUCAGAAAAUCGUGGGUGAGAGCUUGACAAUUCUCUCCUGUACUAUUGUCAUUGCAUGCUGGGCAUGUUAGCCACUCUCUGGAGGUCCAGUUGUACAAAUAUCGCUUUCCUGAGAGAGCACUUUUCUUCGAAUCUUGUCUGGCUUUCAUCCAAUUUUCUUCAAAAUUAGGAAAUGGAAUCUUCAAGUAGGAUAUUGAAGGAGGGAGAUAGAUUUUAUGAUUUUAAGAAGUGGUUUCCUGCUGAUUGUUAUUGGAAAGACGAUUGAAAUUUUAA